rnacentral:rRNA from 1 species
GACGAACGCUGGCGGCGUGCUUAACACAUGCAAGUCGAACGAUGAAGCCGGAGCUUGCUCUGGUGAAUUAGUGGCGAACGGGUGAGUAACACGUGAGUAACCUGCCCUUGACUCUGGGAUAACUGCUAGAAAUGGUAGCUAAUACCGGAUACGACCCUCGGAGGCAUCUCCAGGGGGUGGAAAGAAUUUGGGUCAAGGAUGGACUCGCGGCCUAUCAGCUAGUUGGUGAGGUAACGGCUCGCCAAGGCGACGACGGGUAGCCGGCCUGCGAGGGUGACCGGCCACACUGGGACUGAGACACGGCCCAGACUCCUACGGGAGGCAGCAGUGGGGAAUAUUGCACAAUGGGCGCAAGCCUGAUGCAGCAACGCCGCGUGAGGGAUGUCGGCCUUCGGGUUGUAAACCUCUUUUAGUAGGGAAGAAGCGAAAGUGACGGUACCUGCAGAAAAAGCACCGGCUAACUACGUGCCAGCCGCCGCCGUAA